UAAAAAUUUUUAUGGUUUAAAAAAUUUAUUUUAAAUUUAUUUUACAUAUAAAUUUUAGUGUUGAUUUUAAUUAUUUUGAAAAUAAUUAAUUUAUUUAUGUAGUAAUUAAUAUUAAAAAUUUAAGUAAUUAAGAUUUAGUAAUAUAAAAAUUAAUAACAAAUUUUGUGCCAGCAGUUGCGGUUACACAAAAAUUAAAAUAAAUUUUUUUAGGAAAUAAUAAAUAGUUAUGAAAUUUAAUAAUUUAAAUUUUAAUUUAUUAGGUGAAAUUUUAAUUUAAUUAAAGAUUAUUUUUAUGAAAUUAGUAAAUUUUAAUUAUAAACUAGGAUUAGAUACCCUAUUAUUAAAAAAUUAAUAGUUAUAAUACUAAAAUAUUAGAUUUUUAUUGAAACUUAAAUAAUUUGGCGGUAUUUUAGUUCAUUUAGAGGAAUCUGUCUAAUAAUUGAUAAUCCACGAAUAAAUUUACUUAAUUUAUUAUUUUGUAUAUCGUUGUUAAAAAAAUAUUUUUAGAUAAUAAAUAAUAUUUUAAAAUUUAAAUAUAAAAUUAAAUCAAAUCAAGAUGCAGAUUAUAAUUAAGAAUAUGAUGGAUUACAAUAAAUUUAUUUAAGAGGAAAGUGAUAUGUAAAAUCACUUGAAAAUGGAUUUAAAUGUAAUUUUUUUUUUUAGUUUAUAAAAAUGAUUUAUAAUUAAAAUAUGUACAUAUUGCCCGUCGCUUUCAUUUUAAAAUUGAAAUAAGUCGUAACAAAGUAGAGGUACUGGAAAGUGUUUCUAGAAAGAA
rnacentral:ncRNA from 1 species